rnacentral:rRNA from 1 species
ACUCCUACGGGAGGCAGCAGUGGGGAAUCUUGGACAAUGGGCGCAAGCCUGAUCCAGCCAUGCCGCGUGAGUGAUGAAGGCCCUAGGGUCGUAAAGCUCUUUCGCCAGGGAUGAUAAUGACAGUACCUGGUAAAGAAACCCCGGCUAACUCCGUGCCAGCAGCCGCGGUAAUACGGAGGGGGUUAGCGUUGUUCGGAAUUACUGGGGCGUAAAGCGCGCGUAGGCGGACUGGAAAGUUGGGGGUGAAAUCCCGGGGGCUCAACCCCGGAACUGCCUCCAAAACUCCCAGUCUUGAGUUCGAGAGAGGUGAGUGGAAUUCCGAGUGUAGAGGUGAAAUUCGUAGAUAUUCGGAGGAACACCAGUGGCGAAGGCGGCUCACUGGCUCGAUACUGACGCUGAGGUGCGAAAGUGUGGGGAGCAAACAGGAUUAGAUACCCUGGUAGGCUAGCG